rnacentral:rRNA from 1 species
CUUCGUGCCAGCAGCCGCGGUAAUACGAAGGUCCCAAGCGUUGUUCGGAAUAACUGGGCGUAAAGCGUGUGUAGGCUGCGCGGAAAGUCAAAUGUGAAAGCCAGAGGCUCAACCUCUGAACUGCAUUCGAUACUCCCGUGCUAGAGUAAUGGAGAGGUAAGUGGAAUUCCCGGUGUAGCAGUGAAAUGCGUAGAUAUCGGGAGGAACAUCAAUGGCGAAGGCAACUUACUGGACAUUUACUGACGCUCAGACACGAAGGCUAGGGGAGCGAAAGGGAUUAGAUACCCCUGUAGUCCUAGCAGUAAACGGUGCUCGCUUGGUGUGGGAGGGUUCGACCCCUUCUGUGCCGGAGCUAACGCGUUAAGCGAGCCGCCUGGGAAGUACGGUCGCAAGACUAAAACUCAAAGAAAUUGACGGGGACCCGCACAAGCGGUGGAGUAUGUGGCUUAAUUCGAUGCAACGCGAAGAACCUUACCUAGGCUUGACAUGCUUGUCGUACCUUCCCGAAAAGGAAGGGUCACUUCGGGUGGACAAUGCACAGGUGCUGCAUGGCCGUCGUCAGCUCGUGUCGUGAGAUGUUUGGUUAAGUCCAGCAACGAGCGCAACCCCUGUGAAUAGUUGCCAGCGCGUAAAGGCGGGGACUCUAUUCAGACUGCCCAGAUCAACUGGGAGGAAGGUGGGGACGACGUCAGGUCAGUAUGGCCCUUACGCCUAGGGCUGCACACGUACUACAAUGCCCAGCACAAUGAGAACCAAUACCGCGAGGUGGAGGAAAUCUGUAAAACUGGGCCCAGUUCGGAUUGGAGGCUGCAACUCGCCUCCAUGAAGUUGGAAUCGCUAGUAAUGCCGUAUCAGCUACGACGGCGUGAAUACGUUCCCGGGUCUUGUACACACCGCCCGUCACAUCAUGGAAGCCGGUCGCACCCGAAGUAUAUGCGCUAACUUUAUUGAAGCAGUAUCCUAAGGUGAGGCUGGUAGAUCGGAA